UGCCAGCCGCCGCGGUAACACGGGGGGCGCAAGCGUUAUUCGGAAUUAUUGGGCGUAAAGGGCGCGCAGGCGGUCUUGUCCGUCAGGUGUGAAAGCUCGGGGCUCAACCCCGGAAGUGCACUUGAAACAGCAAGGCUUGAGUACGGUAGAGGAAAGCGGAAUUCCUGGUGUAGAGGUGAAAUACGUAGAUAUCUGGAAGAACACCAGAGGCGAAGGCGGUCUCUUGGUCCGAAACUGACGCUGAGGCGCGAAAGCGUGGGGAGCAAACAGGAUUAGAUA
rnacentral:rRNA from 1 species